rnacentral:rRNA from 1 species
UGGGGAAUUUUGGACAAUGGGCGAAAGCCUGAUCCAGCAAUGCCGCGUGUGUGAAGAAGGCCUUCGGGUUGUAAAGCACUUUUGUCCGGAAAGAAAUCCUCUGGGUUAAUACCUCGGGGGGAUGACGGUACCGGAAGAAUAAGCACCGGCUAACUACGUGCCAGCAGCCGCGGUAAUACGUAGGGUGCAAGCGUUAAUCGGAAUUACUGGGCGUAAAGCGUGCGCAGGCGGUUUUGUAAGACGGAUGUGAAAUCCCCGGGCUUAACCUGGGAACUGCAUCGUGACUGCAAGGCUAGAGUAUGGCAGAGGGGGGUAGAAUUCCACGUGUGAGCAGUGAAAUGCGUAGAGAUGGUGGAGGAAUACCGAUGGCGAAGGCAGCCCCCUGGGCCAAUACUGACGCUCAUGCACGAAAGCGU